CCUACGGGAGGCAGCAGUGGGGAAUAUUGCGCAAUGGGCGAAAGCCUGACGCAGCGACGCCGCGUGAGGGAUGAAGGUCUUCGGAUCGUAAACCUCUGUCAGCAGGGAAGAACGGUCACUGUGCUAAUCAGCAGUGAAUUGACGGUACCUGCAAAGCAACCACCGGCUAACUACGUGCCAGCAGCCGCGGUAAUACGGAGGGUGCGAGCGUUAAUCGGAAUUACUGGGCGGAAAGCUCGCGUAGGCGGGAGGUCAAGUCAAGGGUGAAAUCCCCGGGCUCAACGUGGGAACUGCCUUGGAAACUGGGAAGCUGGAGUGUGGGAGAGGAUAGUGGAAUUCCAGGUGUAGGAGUGAAAUCCGUAGAUAUCUGGAGGAACAUCAGUGGCGAAGGCGACUAUCUGGCAUAUAACUGACGCUGAGGAGCGAAAGCGUGGGUAGCAAACAGGAUUAGAUACCCGAGUAGUC
rnacentral:rRNA from 1 species